UACGCGAGCUACGCUGCGUUCAUAAAGUCUAUGUGAUACCCCUGUGAUUCUCUGAGUUCCCCCUGAGGAUCUGUACAGAACGUAUUGUAAAGAACUAGUUUUAGAAGCUGUUUACAGUCCGACUACGCAUGCGCAAGUUCUCUGCGUGGAAGCGAGCAGUUUCUACUUCAGUAUAUAGUUGUAUUUCAUGUAAAGUUCGUCGAUUAUUAAAACCGUGUGAGAUUCUAGGACCACUGCGAUUGAAGGCUUAGAGAAAUAAACGUUCGGAACCUUAUUAUCAUCCUUUUGUCAUGGAGAGCGUUGAGAGAAGGAAGCCUUACAAUCCUAUCCAGAGAAAUACCACUCG